rnacentral:rRNA from 1 species
GCGAUCAUACCAGCACUAAUGCACCGGAUCCCAUCAGAACUCCGAAGUUAAGCAUGCUUGGGCGAGAGCAGUACUAGGAUGGGUGACCCCCUUAGAAGUGCUCGUGUUGUACCU